ACAAGCGGUGAGCAUGUGGUUAAUUCGACGCAACGCAGACUACCAGGCUUGACAUCCCUUGACAGCCUCAGAGAUGAGGUGUUCUAGCUUCGGUUAGACAAGGAGACAGGUGGUGCAUGGUUGUCGUCAGCUCGUGUCGUGAGAUGUUGGGUUAAGUCCCGCAACGAGCGCAACCCCUAUCUCUAGUUGCCAGCGAUUCGGUCGGGGACUCUAGAGAUACUGCCCCGGUUAACGGGAGGAAGGUGGGGAUGACGUCAAGUCCUCAUGGCCCUUAUGCCCAGGGCUACACACGUGCUACAAUGGGCGGUACAAAGGGUAGCGAUGCCGCGAGGUGAAGCCAAUCCCAAAAAGCCGUCCACAGUUCGGAUUGGAGUCUGCAACUCGACUCCAUGAAGCCGGAAUCGCUAGUAAUCGUGGAUCAGCAUGCCACGGUCGAAUACGUUCCCGGGCCUU
rnacentral:rRNA from 1 species